rnacentral:misc_RNA from 1 species
UACACUUGCUUACUGCUGUU